GCCGGGCACAGUGGUGCAUGCCUGUAAUCCCAGCAGCUUGGGAGGCGGAGACAGGAGGAUUGCAAGUUCAAAGCCAGGCACAACUCAGUGAGACUGUCUCUA
rnacentral:sRNA from 1 species